rnacentral:rRNA from 1 species
GAACGCUGGCGGCGUGCCUAAUACAUGCAAGUUGAGCGAUGAAGAUUGGUGCUUGCACCAAUUUGAAGAGCAGCGAACGGGUGAGUAACGCGUGGGGAAUCUGCCUUUGAGCGGGGGACAACAUUUGGAAACGAAUGCUAAUACCGCAUAACAACUUUAAACAUAAGUUUUAAGUUUGAAAGAUGCAAUUGCAUCACUCAAAGAUGAUCCCGCGUUGUAUUAGCUAGUUGGUGAGGUAAAGGCUCACCAAGGCGAUGAUACAUAGCCGACCUGAGAGGGUGAUCGGCCACAUUGGGACUGAGACACGGCCCAAACUCCUACGGGAGGCGGCAGUAGGGAAUCUUCGGCAAUGGACGAAAGUCUGACCGAGCAACGCCGCGUGAGUGAAGAAGGUUUUCGGAUCGUAAAACUCUGUUGGUAGAGAAGAACGUUGGUGAGAGUGGAAAGCUCAUCAAGUGACGGUAACUACCCAGAAAGGGACGGCUAACUACGUG